rnacentral:tRNA from 1 species
GGGGAUUUGGCUCAGUGGUAGAGUGCUUGCCUAGCAAGUACAAGGCCCUGGGUUCGGUCCCCAGCUCCG